CGAACGCUGGCGGCGUGCCUAAUACAUGCAAGUCGAACGCACUCUCGUUUAGAUUGAAGGAGCUUGCUCCUGAUUGAUAACAUUUGAGUGAGUGGCGGACGGGUGAGUAACACGUGGGUAACCUGCCCUAAAGUGGGGGAUAACAUUUGGAAACAGAUGCUAAUACCGCGUAAAACCUAACACCGCAUGGUGUAGGGUUGAAAGAUGGUUUCGGCUAUCACUUUAGGAUGGACCCGCGGUGCAUUAGUUAGUUGGUGAGGUAAAGGCUCACCAAGACCGUGAUGCAUAGCCGACCUGAGAGGGUAAUCGGCCACACUGGGACUGAGACACGGCCCAGACUCCUACGGGAGGCAGCAGUAGGGAAUCUUCCACAAUGGACGAAAGUCUGAUGGAGCAACGCCGCGUGAGUGAAGAAGGUUUUCGGAUCGUAAAACUCUGUUGUUGGAGAAGAAUGUAUCUGAUAGUAACUGAUCAGGUAGUGACGGUAUCCAACCAGAAAGCCACGGCUAACUACGUG
rnacentral:rRNA from 1 species